GGUUUGAUCAGAAACAGAAGAAGGUGGCGCACAAGGAAGAAGCGGAAGCGUGAUAAGAUUAGAAUUAGGAGAGGGAUCUUCAAAUGGAAGAGAAAGGUGAGGAAGUAAAGAAGCAGUAGGAAAGGGGUGGUGGAGAGAGAAUUUGGGAGACGGAGUAGUUCUGGAUCGUUUCAAGGCAUGAGGGGAAAUGGGAGGAGGACGAGCUCUCUUGCGAGUACGAGUGGGUCUGGCUUGUAACUGAGGCCAUACAUUACGAAGAAAGGUGGAGGAGGAAG
rnacentral:misc_RNA from 1 species